UUCGCUUCUCGGCCUUUUGGCUAAGAUCAAGUGUAGUAUCUGUUCUUAUCAGUUUCAUGCCAGUGGACAGGCAAGCCUGUGUGGGGCUGAUGGGGAUGGGUGCUGCAUGGAGGGGGCAGGUGUUCCGGGGCUGGUUCUGAGGAAUCAGCUUGACAGCUGUCCUGAUAUAACCGGUUUCCUCCGGGUCUCGCCAU